rnacentral:tRNA from 1 species
GCAGUGGUAGUUCAGUGGUAGAAUUCUUGCCUUCCAUGCAGGAGACCCGGGUUUGAUUCCUGGCUAACACA